UACGAAGGGGGCUAGCGUUGUUCGGAAUUACUGGGCGUAAAGCGCGUGUAGGUGGUGGGACAAGUCUGCUGUGAAAGCGCCUGGCUUAACCGGGCGAGGUCGGCGGAAACUGUCACACUUGAGGACGGUAGAGGGGGGUGGAAUUCCCGGUGUAGUGGUGAAAUGCGUAGAGAUCGGGAGGAACACCUGUGGCGAAGGCGGCCCCCUGGGCCGGCCCUGACACUGAGACGCGAAGGCGUGGGGAGCGAACGGG
rnacentral:rRNA from 1 species